UUUUUAAUUUCCUGAGGCUUCCCCAGCCAUGAUGAACUGAAUGUCCUUCGUGAGUCUUGCUUUUCCUCCUGUCUGCUGGCAGAGAGAGGAUGGUGGCGCGGCCAACACACGUUUGUGACUGAAGACCAUGGUGAUUUUGUAGCAUCCCGAGUAUUUCACAUCCAGGCGGAGGCUCCACCCUGGGCGCUGCUCCUUGGGUCUCCUUUUCUAGAGAGAGAUGAAGACCUCGGCGAGGGGCAUGUUCUUGUGGGGAGGUCAUCGCUGCUGGGAAGGAGAGGACACGCUUGUUGUCUAGUAAAGGCCUUGAUGACACCCCAUAUUAAAUUCAGGGAAUGAACCUCUUUACUACAAAGUGCUCCAUGUCAGGCAAGGUAGGAGAGAAGUAAGGAAGCGUGGGGUCUAGUGGGACAGACAGACCCGGGCCAGCUCUCCCAGAUGCAUCUAAUGAGGUGAAAGCAUCCACCCAGAGUGAGACUUGAGGGGGGACUGUACAUUACACAUCCUUUCCCGUUAUUGGAUUUACAUUUCUGACCUUAGGGAAUACUGAAGUCAGAAAUUUUUAAAUUCUGACUUUCCAGAUCCAUUCCAAAGUUGAUUCUGCAUAACAGUUUGUAUUAUUUUUUCACCCCUUGUAGCCCCGGGCUCAAAAUGCCCCCUUAACAUUCCUAAGUAGAAGAAACUAAACAUCUAAAUGACCAAAUCACGACACUGCCUCCUCCUCUUUCCAAACCUGUGCAGCCCUAUGCUCCUUAGUUUUGUAUUUCCAAAGGUUUGUUUUUGACUCACCUUUCCUGCGUUCCUUUCUCUCACCUGUGCAUCAUUUGGAAAACACAAAAGUGCUGCUCCUGAGGUUUUGCACCCUCUCCCUGUAGCCACUCACCAGCAAGCCCACUCUGCCAUGGCAGGGCCUGAAGCCUGUCAUUCAGGAACUAUGUGAUGGCACUCAGAAUCUUAGAAGCAAGAACAGCAGAUUUGGGGUGCCUGCAUUUUUUAUGGGAUACUGAUCUGGCCAGCCUUUCUUUCCCAUAGGAAUGGAGAAAAUGGUGGCAGAGAUAGUCCAAAUGAGCCGACGAGCUCCAAAGUGAAUUGUGUUUGCCUUUGAAAUGGGGUCUCAGAUUUGCACUCAUUCCUUCUGCACAGUAGCACGACAGUCAUCCAGCAGUGGCAGUGGUAUCGAGGGUGUGUGUGUGCGCUGCCUCUGCGUGGAGCAGGAAGGCAGGCUAGAAAUGUAUCUGGAUGGCUGAGGGGUAUGGCCACAGACAGACUGCUGGAAUCCUUGGUGUGGGACGGUGACUCAAUGGCAUGUUAUCACAUAUCAGCAGACGAAGAGAGCUUUCUUCUUGCUCCCAGGCCUCCUCUUGACUAGAGAAUGCAUUUCCGCUGCUGGUUGCUUCAAGGUAAGUCUGAGCAAAAGCCCCUUCGCUAUGACGAGGGAGACACAGGAGUCUGUAACACCCUUAUAAAGGGCUCCUCAGGGACCAAGAUCUAGAAAGCAGCGUACAGAAAGGAAAGCCAAUGGUUGUUUCCCCAGUUCUGCCCCCAUCCGAGGAUCCUCUUAUUUUAUAAACUGUUGCCCCGGUUCUUCCAGUCACUUUCAUAAAUCUUUGCAAGUACAUGGAUACCAGAAAAAAAUGUGUCUGCUAUUAUCCUAAACCACCCUGCAUGGCCAACCUGACCACAGGCAAGGCAAACAGCGAGGGAAAUGCUCUCUUCACUCCAUCAGUUCUCAGGCAACCACGGAUAUUAGCAGCAUGCACUGCAUGAAGUGUACGGGCAGGCAGGGCCUCAGUGCUAUGGUGUGAAAAAAAUCAGAGAUUUCAGUAAACGUAAGACCAACCCCCAUGACAUUUGUUAUUCAGCAGAGUAGUUAAGAGUUCUGAAACCAAACUGCCUGGGUCCAAAUCCCAGCUCUGGCACUUAUUAGCUGUGUGGUCUUGCGAGAGUUACUUAGAUUCUCUGUGCCUCAGUUUCCUCAGCUGUAAAAAGAGAAUAUCAACCAUAAUAUCUACCUUGUAGGAUUGUUGGAAGGAUUAAAUGAGUUAAAAGAAACUUAGUACAGUGUGUGGUACUUAGCAAGGACUACAUAAAAGUUUGUUACAAAAAAAAAUUAUGUCAUAGCACACACGGGGGGGGCACAUUUACUCAGCACUGUUGGCUUCAUGACGAAACAACUGAAAAGUCAUCAGACUGCUCCAUACUUGCAAGGAAUAGAGUCCACACUCACGAGGAUCCAAACCCUGCAUUUUGAAAUCUAAUGGUACUAGUGAAACUGCUGUUAGGCCACUAAGUGCUAAGAUGUUAAGACUGGGCUUCCAUCGUGCCUGUGACAUAUUUGUCGUCUUUUCCACCAAUCUUCUCAGUGAGUGAAAGAACCUCAGGGUCCAAGGCUCAUCUAAUCACACAGCAAAGAAUAAUUGUCAAUACGAUUUGUGUUGUGAGUCAAGCCUUCCUUGGUAGACAGGAGCAGUAAACCCUGAACAGAAGGGGCAAGCGAAAGAGAAGCGAGGAAAGUCUUUGUAUUGUUUUCCCUUUCUGUUCCUUGCUGGGCCAAAAUGAAACCCCGGGGCAACGCUGGGAGCCUCUGUGGCCUCCCAAGGCUGCCUCUGGUUUUGGACUUGAACUCAAGUGGUCUGUGAAGCCUGCGGCCAUCGCUGCACAGAGCUCGUGGGUCUUGUACUUUGGGGAUCCACAGGCAUGUCUACAAGUUUUUAGGGGAUCCCAACUAUCUCAGUUCUGGCCAGACCUCCUGAAGAUGCUCAAAUCCUCCCCCAGCCCACCCCUGAUCUGUGCAGGCUUCAGGGAGCCAGAUAUGGAUUCUAGGGAGAAACCUGUGUUUCCUGACGUUCCACUGCAAUUUGCAGAGUUUAACAGGCUGUGGGCUAACAAAUAUUUUGAAAGGCCUUGGAACACCCAGCAUCCUCCCACCUUGCUCCAAGCAAAAUGCAAUGUGCCUUCCAUCUCAUCUUCGGCAUCUCCCCAGCCCUUCUCAGCAUGAGCUGAAAGGAACGCUUCAUUGACUGGUCAAUAAGUCAUGUUUAUCGAACUGACAGUGUGUGAUGUAGGGGUGUGCGAGCUGCAGAGAAAGAUGGGUGAGCAGGGAAAAAAACAACCCAGUCAAAUGUUAGGAUUUAUGUAUAAAGAAAAAGGCUCUCCACUUCUCCCUCCCCAGCCUGGACAUUUGCCAACCCUCCUUUCCCAAAAGCUCCACAAGGAAAUGGGCAUCAUACCCUGAACUCAGAAGCCCUUUCUUUAUGUGGUGCUGACCUCUAGAGGCUUCUAAUUAAAAAGCAUCCCAAAGGGCCAACUUAAUUUUACUGCUGGUUUUUACACUGAACAUUUAUUGCCAUAUUUCCCUACAAAAUAAGGAUAAAAUAUUUGUUACUUUAAAUGAUCCCUUAAAAAAUGCCUACCUUGUUCCUUGACUGCCUAAUUAAAACUUGCCCAGAUCAUUACAAGUGUCAUUGUUUACUCCAAAAAGGAAAAAAGGAGGGUCAGAGACAGGGAAAGUACUUCGAAUUUUUUUGCCUAUGGUGGCCCUAAGAGGGAAGCAUAGUGCCAGCUUUUUCAGGAUGCAUUUCUUGCGUUUCCAAAGGGCCAAGUCUGCUAAAUAGAGACAGGAAUGUUCAUUCACUCCGAUUUGGCAGGGCACCGGCCAACGCCACCCCGACAGACACUCGGGUACACGGACACCAAGUCCUCCUAGUCCAGCCCCGGUGUGCGGUCUAAAUGCUGGGUGGUGGGUCUGGUUUUAUUUUGUUGUCCUUCAACCCACACCUGUACACAAUGAACUCUAGGACAAUGGAGGAUCCCACUCGGCCCAACUUCACUAUGGAAACAAGGCUAAUUUCUAAAGGGAGUGAGACUGUUGAUUACAUCCCUAAGCUAAACACCCCAAUUUCAUUUUGUUGUAGUUCUGACUCCUUAUUACUUUCACGAAGAGAAGGAAGGUGUGGGAAGGCAGAAGAAACGUGCAGGGACAUAAGCAUUCGGACUAACACACAGCCACAGUAUCAGCUGGCGUCUUCAAUUCCAAAAGGGAUCCUAGGGAAAAGGGCUUCAGAAUCCCAGGACAGCUUUGCCAAUCCUGGCCGCCCCACCCUGGUUUUGUGAGUGUUUCCAUAACUGUGUUUCUUGUCCUCCCUACUGACUCCUGACUCCCCUAGACAAGUCAGGGCUAGUGCCCAAAGGGAACUCAGGGACAAGUCCCCCACUCUUUAUUUUUACAGAUGAGGAAACAAAGCCGGAAAUGGGGUGGGGUGGGGAAGGGACAUGCCUAGGGCCACAGUCAGCCCAGGAGGAGUCUGGGCUAGAACCUCUUGCCCUCGGCCACUGAUUUCAGAAUGAUUACGAGGGGGAAACGUGGGUAUUUUUAACACCAGUCCCUGCACUUAAAGGAGCCAACCUGCAUUUUAUGAACUCUAUCUCUGAGACGGAUAGAAUAACUGUAACAAAGGCAGUCCAUCAGUAAGGCUUCGCCUGCCCCGCUGCUGCACCACUACCUUAGCCGAGCGGGAUUGGAAAUGCUGACACACAGCUCACCACUUGAGUACAAUCUCUAACAGCGGCAUCGAAAACAAAGGACCACACACUAUCUAACAUACACACAAGCCUUUAUGCUGUGCCUGUGAAGCCAAUCUCAAAUCUAAUCGAAUCUAAUGGGUCUCUCUAUGGAGACCCAUUCAUUUGGAGAAAGAAACUUGCUCUUAAUCAAAUAACAGAACUUACCAUCAACUUCCAGAUAAGUUAUUUAAAUGCCAUGUUUAGUGAAUAAAUAACCAGGAGGAAGGUGGUGGAGACAUGGUGUCAUGUCAUAGAAUGACCACAGAAUACAGAUUUCUAAUUGAUGCCACAAAGAAUUCCUAAGUAGGCUAGAAAAAAAAUAGGAUUCUCAAACACAAAACUAAAGUAUUGGUUCAAAGAAGAAAAUUACUAACUACCAGUUAUAGCAUCAGAAUAGACAUAUGAAUGCAUCACACAGAAAUGAUUAAUCUUUGAACAAUGGCAGUGUUUCAUGUCACCAGCUCCUCCCUCUCUUCCCCCAGCCUCCUCACACACAGCAACCACAGAGCGAGCUGCCGGUCCUUUACUCCUUGUUCUUCAUUUAUAAGCCACAUUAGGUGUCCUUUAGGACCAAACAUUGUGGAGGCAGAAAAAAAAGAGGCAAACACCACCAGAGUUUGAAAGGCUCUUUAAUAGCAAGCGAAUGGUAAUUACAUGGUCGGAUGAGGUCCUCAAUCUCAGGGGAGGGAGGAGGGAGCAGAGGUGGACAGGGUGCAGUACAGGAUUUACACUGUUUGAAGCAUCUAACGAAGGGCAACAGUUUUUGGCAACCCAUUUCACAGUUUUGUAAUUUACAAGAGAUUUCUUUGAAAGGAAAUAGGAAGACUUCUUAAAGAAAGCACACAUACCCUACCGGCAACACUUCUUGCCUUAAAAAAAAAAAAAAAAGAAAGAAACAACCAAAAAACAAAAGCUCAACAACUAUUCCUUGCUUUUGCUUCUUGUGUAGAUGACUAAAUUUUGCUCUCAUGCUCAAAUUAAGACUGGACCAUGGAUAGUGAAGAUCUGCCCUAGCAUUGAAGAUUGACUUCCUCCUCUUCAGAGCUGACAUUUGUACCGAGCACUGCUCUUAUCUUUAUCUGCCUAGGUAUCAGAAGGGGCUUAGUAAAAAAUGAAACUCGAGAAACAAAACAAAACAGAAAAACAGGAAAAGGCAGUUUACAAAGAACAGACUGUCAGCUUUCUCUCUGGUGCCGAACAACUUGAAUACAGCUCUAAGCAAAUUAAAACAUUUCUUUUUAUGUGGCCUGGCAUAUACUUUUAAUCGCUUGUGCCUAUUCAGCCUUACAGUGCUUUAAAUGGGGUUUCUAACAUGAAAUGCUCAUGGGUACUAUAUUUUUGUAAUCCAGAUUUAAAUAAAAAUAUAAAAGGCAACAUAUUAUUUAACAAUUUGCCCGCUAAGCAGGAGCUAUAGAUAUUUUACCAUGGACACCCAUCGCCAUGGACACCACAGGCUACCAGCAUUCUGGCAGGUUUCAGAACUACUCUCCAUAAAAUCUAAAAGACUUCAGCUUCUUGUGUCAUACCUGUUAUCACUAAACUGGGAGAAGUGACUGGGUCUUUAUGAAAGAGGAUCAGUUUUUAAUUCAAAGAAAUUUUAGGCUUCUCCGAAGACUGGGUGAUCGGCAAUGGCAUCUCUUUGGAGCUAACACCCACUGCAGGGGAGAGGGGUCUGUGAUCGCUUGAGCAUUAAUUGUGCUCUUUCUACAACCCUGAAGCACGGUGAGGAGGUGGGCCCUGCCCUCUGGCCUGAGGGGGCACUCCUGCUUCCUCCCUGCUGCCAAGGAGACCCAAGUUUGCUUUGUGAUUUACCCGCCAGAUGCCUGGAGCCCCUCUCAGAUCUGCCUGCGCUUGGGAAAGACAGGUUUCUCAGGCUGGCAGCUGGUUUUACUGAAGGAAAGAUACCCACCAGAUGAGCAGGGUCCCUGUUGGUCUCCUUGGCUGGGGGGCACCUUUACAGUGGCAAAGCCAUGCCAACACAAGGCAUUGCCUCUCAACAUACAGUCAGUUCCUUCGAGGAAAGCAGGCCCCCAGUGAGAGAGCCGUGAAAAUGAAAACAGUUUUCCUGGGGCUCAGGUGGUAACUGUCAGACCCCAACUCUCCCAUUUUCCUUCAUUCAUCUCCUCCCACCCCAAGUUAAGUCCCACCUAUUCCUUCAUGCCUCUCUGUGGGAAAUCAGAUCUGUUCAUACCAGUUUCCCAACUUGUGAAUUUUAACAUGCAAAGCCUAUUCCUAAAAUAUAAA